UUCAUACUUCCUCCGUUCGGAAUUACUUAUCGCAUAAAUGGAUGUAUUUAGAUGUAUUUUAGUUCUAGAUACAUUCAUUUUCGAGACAAGUAAUUUCGAACGGAGGGAGGGAGUA
rnacentral:pre_miRNA from 1 species